UUUGGAUUCCGAUGAAGAAUGGUGAUCAGUACGUCUUGAGCACGUGUGAACAGCCAUAUCUUCUUGAUCAGGUGCUUUCUGGCUAUCGGGAGGUCUCCAGGAAGUUCACCUUUGAUACAGAAAUUAAACCAGGAGCAAUUCCAGGUCUUCCUGGUCGGGUGUUUAGUUCAAGAAUUCCAGAGUGGACGUCAAAUGUUCUGUACUACAAGGAGGCUGAAUACUUACGUGUACAAUAUGCUGUCAACCAUGAAGUUCGUGGAUCUAUUGCUUUACCUGUCUUUGAGGAUGAUGCCUGUGAAACUCCAUGUUGUGCAGUAUUAGAACUCGUUACAAUGAAGGAGAAACGUAAUUUUGAUUUGGAAAUGGAUCAUGUUUGCCAGGCUCUCCAGGCUGUGAAUUUAAGGAGUACCGCGCCUCCUCGACUUCAUUCUCAGAAUCUCUCAAACAACCAAAAGGAUGCUUUAGCUGAGAUAACAGAUGUUCUGCGAGCAGUCUGCCAUGCACAUAAGCUGCCUCUUGCUCUGACAUGGAUUCCCUGUAAUGUCACUGAAGGAGAAGGAGAUGAACCCAUAAGAGUGCGUGCUAGAGGAUGUAAUACAAGUUUAAAUGAAAAAUGUGUAUUAUGUGUUGAGGAUACAGCUUGUUAUGUGAG
rnacentral:misc_RNA from 1 species